UACGUAGGCAGCAAGCGUUGUUCGGAAUUACUGGGCGUAAAGGAGUGUGUAGGCGGUGCUCCAAGUCUGGUGUGAAAUCUCCCGGGCUUAACUGGGAGGGUGCAUUGGAAACUGGAAUGCUAGAGGAUGGGAGAGGUAAGCGGAAUUCCUGGUGUAGCGGUGAAAUGCGUAGAUAUCAGGAGGAACACCUGUGGUGUAGACAGCUUACUGGACCAUUUCUGACGCUGAGACACGAAAGCGUGGGUAGCAAACAGG
rnacentral:rRNA from 1 species